rnacentral:sRNA from 1 species
GCUGGGUGCAGUGGCACACGCCUGUAAUCCCAGCAGUUUGGGAGGCUGAGGCAGGAGGAUUGCGAGUUCAAAGCCAGCCUCAGCAAUUUAGUAAGGCUCUAAGCAACUUAGCAAGUCCCUGUCUCUA